CUGCUCCUCCCAGAAAGAUCACCCUGAAUCUGCCCACACCUCAGUCUUCAGUGUCUGCCAGUCCUUUCCUGGUGCUUCAGAGAAGACCUGCACAUCCUGGAAGGAUCAGCCUGAGUCUGCCCACACCUGUAUCUUCCAGUCCUUUCCUGGUACUUCAGGUAGGAAUAUAUGCAUAGAUUAUUAAUUCCUGCCAUGGAUAUGAGGUUGCAGAAAUUCAAGAUGCAAAUGGAGACUGAUAAAGUUUCUCUACUCAAUGUUCAAUUAGCACAGUCUGGAUUACUAACAGUCUUGUCUUAGAAGCAAAAAUUAACUUGACCAAAGAAUAUUCUGACCAUGGACACGCAAAG